GAUUUGGGUGGCGGACGGGUGAGUAACGCGUAAAGAACUUGCCUCACGGCUAGGGACAACAUUUAGAAAUGAAUGCUAAUACCUGAUAUUAUGAUUUUAAGGCAUCUUAGAAUUAUGAAAGCUAUAAGCACUGUGAGAGAGCUUUGCGUCCCAUUAGCUAGUUGGAGAGGUAACAGCUCACCAAGGCGAUGAUGGGUAGCCGGCCUGAGAGGGUGAACGGCCACAAGGGGACUGAGACACGGCCCUU
rnacentral:rRNA from 1 species